GACGUAGGACGCGAGCGUUAUCCGGAUUUACUGGGCGUAAAGCGCCUGCAGGCGGUCAGGUAAGUCGGUUGUGAAAGCCCCGUGCUCAACGCGGGGAGGCCAAGCGAUACUGCGUGACUUGAGGGCGGAAGAGGGGAGUGGAAUUCCCGGUGUAGCGGUAAAAUGCGCAGAUAUCGGGAGGAACACCAGUGGCGAAGGCGGCUCCCUGGACCGCACCUGACGCUCAGAGGCGAAAGCUAGGGGAGCGAACAGGAUUAGAGACCCUGGUAGUCCUAGCCCUAAACGCUGGAUGCUAGGUGUAGGGCUGAUGAGGCUCUGUGCCGGAGCGAACGCGAUAAGCAUCCCGCCUGGGAACUACGGCCGCAAGGCUAAAACUCAAACGAAUUGACGGGGACCCGCACAAGCAGCGGAGCGUGUGGUUUAAUUCGAUGCUACACGAAGAACCUUACCUGGGUUUGACAUGCUGGUGGUACCGAACCGAAAGGGGAGGGACCCUUCGGGGAGCCAACACAGGUGCUGCAUGGCUGUCGUCAGCUCGUGCCGUGAGGUGUCGGGUUAAGUCCCGUAACGAGCGCAACCCUUGCUCUUAGUUAUACGUGUCUAAGGGGACUGCCGGCGACAAGCCGGAGGAAGGUGGGGAUGACGUCAAGUCAGCAUGGCCUUGAUAUCCAGGGCUACACACACGCUACAAUGGCCGGUACAAAGGGCAGCCAAGCCGCGAGGUGGAGCGAAUCCCAGCAAAGCCGGUCCCAGUUCGGAUUGCAGGCUGCAACCCGCCUGCAUGAAGUUGGAGUUGCUAGUAACCGCGCGUCAGCCAUAGUGCGGUGAAUACGUACCCGGGUCUUGCACUCACCGCCCCG
rnacentral:rRNA from 1 species